rnacentral:rRNA from 1 species
GAUGAACGCUGGCGGCGUGCCUAAUACAUGCGAGUCGAGCGAACAGACGAGGAGCUUGCUCCUCUGACGUUAGCGGCGGACGGGUGAGUAACACGUGGAUAACCUACCUAUAAGACUGGGAUAACUUCGGGAAACCGGAGCUAAUACCGGAUAAUAUAUUGAACCGCAUGGUUCAAUAGUGAAAGACGGUUUUGCUGUCACUUAUAGAUGGAUCCGCGCCGCAUUAGCUAGUUGGUAAGGUAACGGCUUACCAAGGCGACGAUGCGUAGCCGACCUGAGAGGGUGAUCGGCCACACUGGAACUGAGACACGGUCCAGACUCCUACGGGAGGCAGCAGUAGGGAAUCUUCCGCAAUGGGCGAAAGGCUGACGGAGCAACGCCGCGUGAGUGAUGAAGGUCUUCGGAUCGUAAAACUCUGUUAUUAGGGAAGAACAAAUGUGUAAGUAACUAUGCACGUCUUGACGGUACCUAAUCAGAAAGCCACGGCUAACUACGUG